rnacentral:rRNA from 1 species
GAUGAACGCUGGCGGCGUGCCUAAUACAUGCAAGUCGAACGGACUCUUAUUUGUUCUUCGCUUCGGAUUUCGGUCCGAGCCGGGGAACAGUAAGAGUUAGUGGCGAACGGGUGAGUAACACGUUGGUACCUGCCCCGAAGUGGGGAAUAACUGCCCGAAAGGGUGGCUAAUACCGCAUAAUACCGCAAGGUUAAAGCAGUAAUGCGCUUCGGGAGGGGCCUGCGUCCCAUUAGCUUGUUGGUGGUGUAANGGACCACCAAGGCGACGAUGGGUAGCUGGAUCGAGAGGUUGACCAGCCACACUGGGACUGAGACACGGCCCAGACUCCUACGGGAGGCAGCAGUGGGGAAUACUGGACAAUGGGCGCAAGCCUGAUCCAGCAAUGCCGCGUGGAUGAAGAAGGUCUUCGGAUUUGUAAAGUCCUUUCGGCGGGGACGAUGAUGACGGUACCCGCAGAAGAAGCCCCGGCUAACUUCGUGCCAGCAGCCG